rnacentral:rRNA from 1 species
AGUUUGAUCCUGGCUCAGGAUGAACGCUAGCUACAGGCUUAACACAUGCAAGUCGAGGGGCAGCAUGGUCUUAGCUUGCUAAGGCCGAUGGCGACCGGCGCACGGGUGAGUAACACGUAUCCAACCUGCCGUCUACUCUUGGACAGCCUUCUGAAAGGAAGAUUAAUACAAGAUGGCAUCAUGAGUCCGCAUGUUCACAUGAUUAAAGGUAUUCCGGUAGACGAUGGGGAUGCGUUCCAUUAGAUAGUAGGCGGGGUAACGGCCCACCUAGUCUUCGAUGGAUAGGGGUUCUGAGAGGAAGGUCCCCCACAUUGGAACUGAGACACGGUCCAAACUCCUACGGGAGGCAGCAGUGAGGAAUAUUGGUCAAUGGGCGAGAGCCUGAACCAGCCAAGUAGCGUGAAGGAUGACUGCCCUAUGGGUCGUAAGCUUCUUUUAUAAAGGAAUAAAGUCGGGUAUGGAUACCCGUUUGCAUGUACUUUAUGAAUAAGGAUCGGCUAACUCCGUGCCAGCAGCCGCGGUAAUACGGAGGAUCCGAGCGUUAUCCGGAUUUAUUGGGUUUAAAGGGAGCGUAGAUGGAUGUUUAAGUCAGUUGUGAAAGUUUGCGGCUCAACCGUAAAAUUGCAGUUGAUACUGGAUAUCUUGAGUGCAGUUGAGGCAGGCGGAAUUCGUGGUGUAGCGGUGAAAUGCUUAGAUAUCACGAAGAACUCCGAUUGCGAAGGCAGCCUGCUAAGCUGCAACUGACAUUGAGGCUCGAAAGUGUGGGUAUCAAACAGGAUUAGAUACCCUGGUAGUCCACACGGUAAACGAUGAAUACUCGCUGUUUGCGAUAUACUGCAAGCGGCCAAGCGAAAGCGUUAAGUAUUCCACCUGGGGAGUACGCCGGCAACGGUGAAACUCAAAGGAAUUGACGGGGGCCCGCACAAGCGGAGGAACAUGUGGUUUAAUUCGAUGAUACGCGAGGAACCUUACCCGGGCUUAAAUUGCAGAUGAAUUACGGUGAAAGCCGUAAGCCGCAAGGCAUCUGUGAAGGUGCUGCAUGGUUGUCGUCAGCUCGUGCCGUGAGGUGUCGGCUUAAGUGCCAUAACGAGCGCAACCCUUGUUGUCAGUUACUAACAGGUUCCGCUGAGGACUCUGACAAGACUGCCAUCGUAAGAUGUGAGGAAGGUGG